rnacentral:rRNA from 1 species
UACGUAGGGUGCGAGCGUUGCUCGGAAUCACUGGGCGUAAAGGGUGCGUAGGCGGGUCUUUAAGUCAGGGGUGAAAUCCUGGAGCUCAACUCCAGAACUGCCUUUGAUACUGAAGAUCUUGAGUUCGGGAGAGGUGAGUGGAACUGCGAGUGUAGAGGUGAAAUUCGUAGAUAUUCGCAAGAACACCAGUGGCGAAGGCGGCUCACUGGCCCGAUACUGACGCUGAGGCACGAAAGCCAGGGGAGCGAACGGG